rnacentral:tRNA from 8 species
GAUGGUGUAGCUCAGUUGGUAGAGCAGUCGCUUUGUAAGCGAAUGGUCAGCGGUUCGAUCCCGUUAAUCGGCACCA